UCUUUUUCUUAUUCACAGGACGAUUCUGUGGAGAGAAGGCGAGAGGUCGCUAUCCGUGGCUUAGUGGUGUAUCUCAGGGAAAAGGAGGAGGAUCUCUUCAAAGAGCAGGAUGGUGGCGGGAUAUUACCAAUGAAGUGAUGAAAAUUGUAACCAGAGGUGCCACAACGUCUGAUCCAGCCAGCGCAAGGAUCAUACUUGAAGGAACAGAAGUCCUAGCAGACCUGGAUGUACCCAGAGCCUGUGCCUUGCUAAUGGGGCUGAUAUAUGCACUCAACCUCAGCUACCCAAAAGAACUGAAAAACACUUUUGAAGUGUUUCAAAAGAUAUUCCUCGAGCUGGAUGAUCUGAAAGCCAGUCCUAAGACAGCCUUUUCUGUGAGGAAAGAGAAGUUCUACUGCUUGUUGUUUCAAUCGCUCUGGCCCACCAGCGUCCAUGGACAAAAACAGCAAUUUUACCUGACAGCACACAGGAGUUGCUGGUCUCCUGCUGCCUUGAUCAGUAAGUGUAAUUGUGUUAUUUGGUGACUUUGGUGUUAGUUCGGGUUAGUUCAGAUUUACCAAAGUCACACAAACAAACUGAGCCUAUCGUGCGUGUCGGUGGCAGGAAUGUGCUGACUGCUGUCUACUGUGUGUAAUACACUCACAAUGUACUUCAUACUUAAAAAAACCUAAACUAUCACUUUAACACAAACAAACUUGAAUCAGAGCAUGACUGUCAAAAUGUUCA